GGGCCCGCACAAGCGGUGGAGCAUGUGGUUUAAUUCGACGCAACGCGAAGAACCUUACCAAGGCUUGACAUCCCGCUGACCGGCAUAGAGAUAUGCCUUUUCUUCGGAACAGCGGAGACAGGUGGUGCAUGGUUGUCGUCAGCUCGUGUCGUGAGAUGUUGGGUUAAGUCCCGCAACGAGCGCAACCCUUAUCUUCAGUAGCCAGCAGGCAAAGCUGGGCACUCUGGAGAGACUGCCGUGGAUAACACGGAGGAAGGUGGGGAUGACGUCAAAUCAUCAUGCCCCUUAUGUCUUGGGCUACACACGUGCUACAAUGGCUGCCACAAAGGGAAGCAAAGGAGCGAUCCGGAGCAAACCCCAAAAAAGCAGCCUCAGUUCGGAUCGCAGUCUGCAACUCGACUGCGUGAAGCUGGAAUCGCUAGUAAUCGCGAAUCAGAAUGUCGCGGUGAAUACGUUCCCGGGCCUU
rnacentral:rRNA from 1 species